AUAGGGAUGCCCCUCCUCUUGGUCACUGAGCGCCUCCCGUUCUCCACUCCCACGUUCAAGUGUUUUCCGCUUUUCAGACGGUGCUCCUGGACUCGGAAAACUAGCCGUCAGUGGACGAAAAAUAAGGGGGCGGGGGCAGGACAGUGCGUGGGAUUCCUUUGAAGAUCUGAUGAAGGCCGUGACUCUCCCCAGAAAAACGCACCGCAGUUUUACAAAUAAGCUUCAUGAGGUUCACAGACCCGGAAACCAGGAGAUUGUUUUCACUUCUACCAGACUGUGUGAGCAGGCAGAUUUCCACUGUUUAAGACGGGGAUUGCAACCUGGAGUGAACAUCCAGAUGACCAAGGAAGCGUUUUCAAGAUACACUUGACCCUUGUGCAAGGAAGGGUUAGGGAUGCUGACCUGCUGCGCAGUCAAAAACCCAAGUAAAACUGACAGUCUGCCCUCCGUACCCACAGUUCCUCUGCAUCCUUGGAUUCAACCGAGCAUGGAUGGUGUGGUACUGUAUUUACUACUGAAAAAAAACCCGCUUUUAAGUAGACCCCCGCAGUUCAAACCCAGGUUGUUGAAGGGCCAAUUGUACAGAUUUCUGGGCCAUUCCACCUAAAACCUAGUGAAUAAGAACAACUGCAGAGGAGGGUAGCAUAACAUUUUUUUUUUUAAAA